AUGAGGGGACUCAGGCAGAGGACUUCCCCAAUCCGUCCGGGGGGGAGCGAGUGUGUUUUUGUCCCCUAUCUGCUAAGAGGCGUCGGAUUUCUAAUCCAUCCGUUCCUCCGAGGGCUUCUGGAAUGUUAUGGCCUCCAGCUGCACAACUUCACUCCGGCCUCUAUUCUGCACAUUGCGGGUUAUGUCGCUUUAUGUGAACUUUUCCUGGGCGUCGAGGCUCACUUCGAGUUGUGGAGGAAGCUGUUUUGUCUCGUCCCGCGCAAUCACGAAGGGUCAAUAUUUGAAGUGGGCAGAGCCGAAGUGUGGCGCGUCGCCGAUACCGGAUAUCCAUCCGGCACACCAAGGAAGGCACCUGAUGAAUGGCCCUCUGAAUGGUUUUAUAUAGAGGAUGUUGCGCUUCCUGACCCGAUUCAAAAGGGUCUUCCUGAAUUUGCUCGUGUCCCGCUGAAGAAACGCCACAGUUGGCGUCCCCGGAGUCUUGAAGAGGAAGACGGCGCGGAGGUUCGUCAGCUGAUGAGCAGGAUAAGACAUCUCACUCGGUCCGGACUCACACUAAUCGAGGUUAUGGCGAUUUCCAUAGCGCGAGGGGUUCAACCGCUCCAAUACAAAGGGCUUCCCAUGUGGCACUAUAAUGGGGAGGACGACGCUUCUCGCUGCGGUCGGAAAGGUCCGGAUACCCCUGCCGCUUUGGCUAAGAUAUUAGCCGAACUGUUUAAAGGGGAGGAAAAGGAAUUUCUCCGCAUCAAAUCUAGAGACGGGUACUCUAUGUAUAACCCUCCCAGCUGGGUAAGGCCCGACCCCUCCGUUUUUUACUUCUUACAUCUCCAAACUGCUUUUGAUAAACUUCUAGCUCGUUUGCUUAUGACAGCACUGGCGAAAGGUCACCGAGGGAUUUUAUAG
rnacentral:rRNA from 1 species